UACGGAGGGUGCGAGCGUUGUCCGGAAUCACUGGGCGUAAAGGGCGCGUAGGCGGCGCGGGCAGUCAACGGUGAAAGCUUGGGGCUCAACCCCGAGUCGGCCGUCGAUACUCCCGGGCUGGAGCACUGUAGAGGCAGGUGGAAUUCCGGGUGUAGCGGUGGAAUGCGUAGAGAUGCGGAGGAACACCGAUGGCGAAGGCAGCCCCCUGGGCCAACACUGACGCUCAGGCACGAAAGCCAGGGGAGCGAACGGG
rnacentral:rRNA from 1 species